AGAGAGUUCAAGAGUGCGUGAAACCGUUCGGAGGUAAACGGGUGGGAGCUCGAAAGUCGAACGGAUGGGGAGGGAUUCAACUUGGCGUGAUGGCGUCUCCCUGGCGGGUGGCUCGAGGUCCGCGGCGAUUCUGUCGUCGUUGGAUUCCUCGGUCGCAUCGCUGGGACGAUCUGCCUGUCUCCGCCUUGUGCAUUUCCCUGUACCCCCUCUCCUAGUAGGACGCCGUGACCGGCUGUUGAGGGGAGCCCAGGAGCUGGAGGAGGUAGCUGCGCGGACGAGUGUGGGAUUCGCUCCCUGCGUCCGGUCUGUCUGCCCUCCCCCGACUGCGGGUGCUCUCCCCGGCCGAGGAAUGCUGAAGGCGAGAUGCGGACCCUCGUGGUUCGCCUCGUCCAAGCGCGUGCCCACCAAAAUUUCUGUGGGUGCGGGUCGAAAGAACCCAACGGGUGGCGGCGUUCGGUCGCUGGCCAGCUUCGCGCUGCGCCAGCAGCCGUAUCUGCUUAGCCGCUGUCGGUCAGGGUGCUGACUCCCGCAUCUAUGGGGCGCUGGGGGUCAACGGCGAGUAGGUUGGUUUCCCACCCGACCCGUCUUGAAACACGGACCAAGAAGUCUAACGUGUGGGCAAGUCUUCGGGGACUUUGUGAACCCUAUGAAGGCGCAAUAAAAGUGAAGGUCCCGUGCUGUGGCAUCCCCUCCUCGGAGGUGGAGGCUCGGCCGGGGCUGUAGUGGGAUCCCCCGUCUAACGGCGGGGGCGCACCACUGGCCCGUCCUAUGACCGCUUCGCCGGUCGGGCGGAGCAAGAGCCCACGCGUUGGGACCCGAAAGAUGGUGAACUAUGCCUGGGCAGGACGAGGCCAGAGGAAACUCUGGUGGAAGUCCGCAGCGGU
rnacentral:rRNA from 1 species